GACGAACGCUGGCGGCGUGCUUAACACAUGCAAGUCGAGCGGAAAGGCCCUGCUUUUGUGGGGUGCUCGAGUGGCGAACGGGUGAGUAACACGUGAGUAACCUGCCCUUGACUUUGGGAUAACUUCAGGAAACUGGGGCUAAUACCGGAUAGGAGCUCCUGCUGCAUGGUGGGGGUUGGAAAGUUUCGGCGGUUGGGGAUGGACUCGCGGCUUAUCAGCUUGUUGGUGGGGUAGUGGCUUACCAAGGCUUUGACGGGUAGCCGGCCUGAGAGGGUGACCGGCCACAUUGGGACUGAGAUACGGCCCAGACUCCUACGGGAGGCAGCAGUGGGGAAUAUUGCACAAUGGGCGGAAGCCUGAUGCAGCAACGCCGCGUGCGGGAUGACGGCCUUCGGGCUGUAAACCGCUUUCGCCUGUGACGAAGCGUGAGUGACGGUAAUGGGUAAAGAAGCACCGGCUAACUACGUG
rnacentral:rRNA from 1 species